UACGGAGGGGGCGAGCGUUGUCCGAAUUUACUGGGCGUAAAGGGCGCGUAGGCGGGAAGCUAAGUCCGCUGUCAAAGCCCGGGGCUUAACCCCGGAAGGUCGGUGGAGACUGGUUUUCUUGAAGCUGCCAGGGGGAGAUGGAAUUACCGGUGUAGCGGUGAAAUGCGUAGAGAUCGGGAGGAACAUCUGUGGCGAAGGCGGCCACCUGGACCAUGACUGACGCUGAGGCACGAAAGCGUGGGGAGCAAACAGG
rnacentral:rRNA from 1 species